UACGGAGGGGGCGAGCGUUAUUCGGAAUCAUUGGGCGUAAAGGGCGCGUAGGCGGCCCCGUAAGUCUUGGGUGAAAGCCCUCGGCUCAACCGAGGAAUUGCCUUGGAUACUGCGGGGCUCGAGGCUGGAAGAGGGCAGUGGAAUUCCCGGUGUAGCGGUGAAAUGCGUAGAUAUCAGGAGGAACACCGGUGGCGAAGGCGGUUCUCUGGGCAUUACCUGACGCUGAGGAGCGAAAGUGUGGGGGAGCGAACAGGA
rnacentral:rRNA from 1 species